rnacentral:SRP_RNA from 1 species
ACCGGGUGCGGUGGCGCGUGCCUGUAAUCCAAGUUACUUGGAGGCUGAGACUGGUGGAUCGUUUGAUCUCAGGAUCUCUGAGCUGCAGUGGCCUAUGUUGAUCGGGUGUCUGCACUAAGUUCGGUAUCGAUAUGGUGCACCUGGGGAGGCCGGGACCACCAGGUCGUCUAAGGAGGGGUGCACCGGCCCAGGUCGGAAACGGAGCAGGCCAAAGCCCCCGUGCCGCUCAGUAGUGGGAUCGCGCCUGUGAAUAGAGGCUGUAGUGAAGCCUGAGUAAUACAGCGGGACCCAGUCUUUU